rnacentral:rRNA from 1 species
CAAUAGCGUAUAUUAAAGUUGUUGCGGUUAAAAAGCUCGUAGUUGGAUUUCUGCCGAGGACGACCGGUCCGCCCUCCGGGUGAGUAUCUGGCUCGGCCUGGGCAUCUUCUUGGAGAACGUAGCUGCACUUGGCUGUGUGGUGCGGUAUUCAGGACUUUUACUUUGAGGAAAUUAGAGUGUUUCAAGCAGGCACACGCCUUGAAUACAUUAGCAUGGAAUAAUAAGAUAGGACCUCGGUUCUAUUUUGUUGGUUUCUAGAUCUGAGGUAAUGAUUAAUAGGGAUAGUUGGGGGCAUUCGUAUUUAACUGCCAGAGGUGAAAUUCUUGGAUUUGUUAAAGACGGACUACUGCGAAAGCAUUUGCCAAGGAUGUUUUCAUUGA